rnacentral:rRNA from 1 species
UACGUAGGGCGCAAGCGUUGUCCGGAAUUAUUGGGCGUAAAGAGCUCGUAGGCGGCUUGUCACGUCGGGUGUGAAAGCCCGGGGCUUAACCCCGGGUCUGCAUUCGAUACGGGCUAGCUAGAGUGUGGUAGGGGAGAUCGGAAUUCCUGGUGUAGCGGUGAAAUGCGUAGAUAUCGAGAGGAACACCUGCGGCGAAGGCGGGUUGCUGGGCUGACACUGACGCUGAGGCGCGAAAGCUAGGGGAGCGAACGGG